UACGGAGGGGGCUAGCGUUGUUCGGAAUUACUGGGCGUAAAGCGCACGUAGGCGGCUUUGUAAGUCAGGGGUGAAAUCCCAGAGCUCAACUCUGGAACUGCCUUUGAUACUGGGUGUCUUGAGUGUGAGAGAGGUAUGUGGAACUCCGAGUGUAGAGGUGAAAUUCGUAGAUAUUCGGAAGAACACCAGUGGCGAAGGCGACAUACUGGCUCAUUACUGACGCUGAGGCUCGGAAGCGUGGGGAGCAAACAGG
rnacentral:rRNA from 1 species